AAAUUGCUCAGAGCAGCUACUCAUGUUGGACAAUUCAGGUCUCUUCUGGAAACUGGCCUUGUAUUUGGAAUUUUCUCCAGAGUCUGAUGUGCUAAGAAAUCUUCAGAACAAACUUUUCAUAAAAGAAACUUCACUGCAAGAGUUGAAGCCUGAGCUAGAAAGUUACAAAGAAAAUAAUGUACGACAGUCGUUCCAGAUAAUGUCCCUGAAAGAUAAUAUCAAGGACCUACAGAAACUUACUGCUUCUCUAACCAGAAUUAAAUAUUUGAGAAACACCAAUAUUCAGAGGCUUCAAAGAGGCAACUGGAAUUUAACUAAAUGAAUUAUUGAGCUAGAAACUGUCUAAGAGUACGAGUACAUCUGGUUGAAAGAGAAAAGGCAGAGAGAAAAGCAGACUUUUUGGAGUUGUUGUUCUCAGGCACUAACAGAUUCAUCCCUUAUAUGCAUAUGAAUGGACAAUAAGAUUUCUUGGAUAUUUUCAUGGCAAAGGGUAAGAGUGAAGCUAUCCUGGACAAGAACUUUGACAGGACAAUACUAUUCACUCUGAAGGACCAAAAAAUGAGCAGAAAAUUUGGGAUAAAUGUCAACAAGAUUUGAACCCUAAAGAAAAGCAAGCAUCGAGUUAGACAGACGUCCAUAUUCAUUCAACUGGGAAAAUAAAACUGCAGUCCCAACAUCAGAAUUUCCUUGGUCAGUUGGUUAUUGCGGGACAGCAUUCUUCUGCAUGACAGUAUUGUCUCCUUACCAGCCACAGAGGAGGCUGUGAGAGAGAGGAUUUGGGAAAUUGGUGCAAAUGAGAAAUCUUGGAAAUCUAGAACUAAAGCCUUUCAGCAGGAAAUCCAGAUGCUCACUAAGUGACUAGAGCAGCUGCAUCAUCUUUAAGAAGAAGGUGCUCAAGAAUCAUCCCAAGCUGAAGAAAAAAGUAUUGGGAACAAAAAAGACCCUUGAAAUGUCUAGAAAGAAAAAUUGAGAUCAAGGACUUUUUCAAGAGAGAUUAGACUUGGACAGGAAGAAAAAUUUGCAGAUUGCUACUACGCAAAGAUUGGAGGAGAAAAUUCAGAAACUUCAGAGACAGCUCAGUGAUUUGAAAUUGUCAAAUAAAAAUAUGAAAACUCAGCUGACAAGAGUAAAUGUCCUUAAAGACAAAACAAUUGAAGAGCUCAGGCAAUCUUUAGCAAAUGUUGAAAGGAUGAAAGAGAAGGCAAAUGUUGAAACGAUGAAAGAGAAGGCAGUUGUGAAAACAGAAAACUUGAAAACUACAUUAGACUCUGCAGAGCAAAAGGCAAGAUCAGACAAAGAGAAGACCCAGCAGAUGUUAGAUGCUGUCACUUCUGAGCCCCCAACAGCAAAGAGCGCACCUGAAGAAGUAUCAGGACAAGAACAAGAGGCCUAUCCAGAGAUUCCAGUUCAGUUUGUGGUAUGAGGCUGAAGUAUGGAUAUUUUUUUCAAAGCUCCUUAAGUAUAUAAAUUGAUAAAAUUACUUUGGAA
ensembl:lncRNA novel transcript